GGAGGUAAUUGAGUGAUCUCUAUGAGACUGACCAUACGUGGAAAUAAGAAAAACAAACUUAAAAGACCAAUUGAAGGUCGGGAGAAGCGAGGAAGUUCAGUAGCAAUGAAGAAACAUGAGCAUCUCAGAAUGAAAAGAAAACAGCCAAACUUCAAAACCCAAAUCAUAAAUCAUAUUAGCUUAAUGUAAAAUUCAUAGCAAAAGGGAGAGGGUAGGGGCUGGAAAUUUUUUCUUUUUUUGAAAAUUACCAAACAAAUUCAGAAAAGAAAGAAGAAGAUACAAUCUCUAACAAUAGAAAACUCUAAACUCGAAUCCAUUCUGCCCGAUCAAAGGCAAAUUAACCGGAUCUUGACAAAUCCAAAAUGAAUCGAAACUCAUAUUAAUCAAUGGAUCUUGACAAAAUCCAUUAACUAAUGUUAGUUUUGACUCAAAGCAUACUAAAAUCAACUGAAAAUUUGAGAAAAAGGGAGCUUGAAAUUUCAGACCACUUUUAGAUCCAAAAACCAAGGAGUUUCAGGGUGUUUUGAAGGAUAUGGUUACGGAAUACUAGAAGAAGGGAAGGUGGUGGUUGCAUGGUGUUUGUUUUGGUGGGUUUGGUGUGCCGUCGCCGGCAGGUGAAGGUAAGGGUUUUGGGGGCGUCUAGAGUUACCAUUUUUAAGAGAGAUAGAGAAA
rnacentral:lncRNA from 1 species